rnacentral:lncRNA from 1 species
AUGUAAUAUUUGUGGUAUAAAGCAUAAUGACAUUGUCUUCUCUCUCACCCUACUCUAAUAAGGCUUUUAUAUCUAGAGCGCAUAGGUGGGAGAUAAAGUAUACAUACUUACAAGAUAUUUAUUGCAUAGUCAAACCAUGGAUCCAAAGAAACAAAUCAAUAAGCCAAAUCAAGAUGUGCAUGUGUGGCGAAUGAAUGGUGUAUGGUGAUGAUGGUGAUAACAAUGGUGAAAACAAUGGUGAUGGAAGUCUAAUUCUACUUUGCUCUUUGAGGGGAUACAUACCUUUCUUGCUUUUGAAAUUUUGAGGAGAAUGAGAUGCUCUUCUUUUUCUUUUCUCUCAGGUGGGCAUCUUGUACCCCUAAUUCUACUGUCGGACACUUGUCCAUUUUUACCUCUCGUCUCACUCUUUCUUUUCUUUCGAGGUUCCGAGCACUUGCUCCUUUUUAUUUCCUCGUAUCUCUUUUUUUUUAGAAAGCAUUCAUCUCUUGAGAUAAUAUAGCAAGUGGUUGUAACAAGAUAACUUGAGCAUUUAUUUCACAAGGGGAAACAGAAAUAUUUUUGGCUAUUCUCUCCCGGAUUAGGAGUAGAAUAUUUUUGGGUGAUUCUGGAGAUGGAAUGGGUGAAUAUAUGUGGAUGGUACUUCCGGAGUAGAAGUAGCAUAUAUGAGUGAACGUGCAAGUGAAAUCUUGAUUUAACCACAUGACAAGCUCCUAAGGGUCUACACAGCUUGACCACACUCAAUGCUCAUAAGCAGUAAAUAAUAAAUGUGUGGCUCAAAGUCUAACAAGCAUGUAUAUAUGGCUGUGGUAGGAAUUUAAACUCUCAUCAUACAGGAACUCAUCAUGCAACAUUUUAAAGAUUUUUAAAGAUAAAAUUCUCCAGAAUUCUAGCAUCUCUAGGAACAGAUAAACAGC